rnacentral:rRNA from 1 species
GAUGAACGCUGGCGGCGUGCCUAAUACAUGCAAGUCGAGCGAACAGACGAGGAGCUUGCUCCUCAGACGUUAGCGGCGGACGGGUGAGUAACACGUGGAUAACCUACCUAUAAGACUGGGAUAACUUCGGGAAACCGGAGCUAAUACCGGAUAAUAUAUUGAACCGCAUGGUUCAAUAGUGAAAGACGGUUUUGCUGUCACUUAUAGAUGGAUCCGCGCCGCAUUAGCUAGUUGGUAAGGUAACGGCUUACCAAGGCAACGAUGCGUAGCCGACCUGAGAGGGUGAUCGGCCACACUGGAACUGAGACACGGUCCAGACUCCUACGGGAGGCAGCAGUAGGGAAUCUGCCGCAAUGGGCGAAAGCCUGACGGAGCAACGCCGCGUGAGUGAUGAAGGUCUUCGGAUCGUAAAACUCUGUUAUUAGGGAAGAACAAAUGUGUAAGUAACUAUGCACGUCUUGACGGUACCUAAUCAGAAAGCCACGGCUAACUACGU